GCCUUCUUGGUGAAGAGGUCAGCACGCUCGACGCGUAACUGAGAAUUCCGUGGUUCGAUUCCCGGAGAAGGCG
rnacentral:tRNA from 1 species